UAACACCCUCUUGUUACAUGUGAGUUAGCGAAGUCAAGUUUCCGGAACACCAGAUUGUAGGUAAAUGAUUAAUUUUUACCUUUUAAAAAUCAUCUUGUCCAUCUUUGUCCAUUAUUUCUUCUUUUAAAACUUCAGUAAAUAUAGAGGCUCAUUUCUCUUUAGAUUUAUUUACCUGAUUAUAAUCUGAUGACAAUUGCUUGAGGCUAAAUUUCACACAAGAAUUGAUUCAGGGUUGCUGUCUUAAGUAAACACCCUGCCUUUAAAAUAUAUAUAUAUGAAUUUCAUUUCUUAGUGGCAAGAAAGCCUAGAGCCUCUGAGAGAAACAGAGAGUAAGAAAAGAUAACUGACAUCUUCAAAAGAGACCUCCUAGUGGGAAUUCUAUGCUGGAGAGAAAACAUCUUAUUAUAUAUGAAAGAGUUUGUUUUAGGAAAAAUAGAGGACCAUACCUUUUUUAAAUAAAUAGAAAUGUAAUUGUUCUUGAUAGCAGCUCUCCUGCAUAUUUCCUGCAUUGUGAAAAAUCAACCAAUGUCUUUUUGGGAAGGAAGCCGAAUGAACUCAAGAUACAUUUACUUAAUUACAGUUGCUUGGAUCGAUAGAAAAGCUAUUUAUUGGACACAUCUGGUGAGGACACAAGGCAAGGCUAUGCUGGUGGGUGCACCCUGGUGUGGAACUCCCUUCCAUAGGAGGACAAAUUGGCCUCCAUCCUGCUGUUGUUUCACCAGCAGCCAAAGACUGCUCUCUUCACACAGGCUUUUGGUAAGCAAUUGGCUGCCUAGGUAGGGAUUUUUAAUUGGGGAUGCUAUAUCUUUCACUUUCUUUAGCAGGCUUUAAAUUUGUUUUAAGCUUUUGUUUGUUCCAUAGUUUCAGUACGUAGUGUGAUGUUGUUUUUAAUAUUAUAAUUUACUGUAUUUUUAACAUUUGUCUCAACAUUUGUCUUUGGGAUGUGAGGGUUGCACUAAAUGGCAUGUCGCUCCUCUCCACCACUCCAACCUCAAGCGACCCUCUUUAGACUGCGUCCACCUGAACCAAAAGAAUCACAGCCUCAGAUGGGAUGUACCACUUACAAUGACAUUUCACAGAACUGAAUGCUCCUCCACCUAAUAAUAA
rnacentral:lncRNA from 1 species